GACGAACGCUGGCGGCGUGCUUAACACAUGCAAGUCGAACGGUAAGGCCCUUCGGGGUACACGAGUGGCGAACGGGUGAGUAACACGUGGGUGAUCUGCCCUGCACUUCGGGAUAAGCCUGGGAAACUGGGUCUAAUACCGGAUAGGACCACUGCCUGCAUGGGUGGUGGUGGAAAGGUUUUGCGGUGUGGGAUGGGCCCGCGGCCUAUCAGCUUGGUGGUGGGGUGAUGGCCUACCAAGGCGGCGACGGGUAGCCGGCCUGAGAGGGUGACCGGCCACACUGGGACUGAGAUACGGCCCAGACUCCUACGGGAGGCAGCAGUGGGGAAUAUUGCACAAUGGGCGCAAGCCUGAUGCAGCGACGCCGCGUGAGGGAUGACGGCCUUCGGGUUGUAAACCUCUUUCAGCACCGACGAAACGCAAGUGACGGUAGGUGCAGAAGAAGGACCGGCCAACUACGUGCCAGCAGCCGCCGCCG
rnacentral:rRNA from 1 species